AUGUAUGAAGUGAUUGCAGUAGGGCGACCGUUCGCUUGAUGGGACAACAAUGCUUGAUUGAUAAGCGAUAAGCCAGUUGUUGUUUAGUACUCGUGGUGACAUACAAAGUAUUUCAAACCUUUACAACAUGUAUCAGUUGUGCAAAAUUUGUAAUAAACCAUUAUUCAACAAUCACAAUUUACGCGUACGACUUUGGAAUAUAUUCAAAUGUAGUUCAAUCAGUGGUCUUGUCGGUACAAUAAUUGGUGCUGCAGCAUUGCCACUUUUGGGUUUUAGAUAUGCUGGAGUAAUGGCUCGUUCAUUGGCGGCAGCAUGCCAAACAGCAUACACAGCUGCCGGCUCAGUAUUUGCAAUUUUACAAUCAUUGGGAGCCACUAGAAUUGGAAUUUUUUUGUUUGGGGCUAUCGGUGGUAUUGGUUUUGGACUAAUUAGUUUUCUAUUAUCAUCAAAUUAUUUUACUACAACUGGUUGGUGCUAUGGUCAUAAAGAUUAAAAUUACAGUUCUCCGAAUGAGAAAGUGUACUUUGGGUUUUCAACCCUCUUUUAUAAGUUAUAAACACUACACAUCGAAAAUAAUUAUUAAAAAAUAAAAUAUCAUAAAUACUAAUAAAUAUAUAAAAAUUUUCAUUCAAUGAUGAUUUAAAACUUGAUAGUGCUAUCAACACCGACAUUGUGCUUCACAUACUCAUAUUACACUCUUGUAUGCAGAAACUUAUACGCAUGUAUAUAAGAUUGCACUCCUUCCAUACACUCCAUGUAGCAGUUACGCAGUCCAAUUUAAGAUGACAGCACUUAUUUUUUAUAUUAAAUAUUGCGAAGAGACGGCAUUUCUUUAUAUAUAAACAAAUCAAACAGUUGAUAUAUUAUGUACUAUUAUUUACUUCAUACUUUUUACUGCUUACAUAAAAAUAAGAAGUUAAUCAUUAGCAAUUCAAUAAAAUGAUUUUCUUAAUAAUUUGGUAAUUGAUAAAAUUGUUAAACUUAUAAUUCUAAAUUAAUUAUAUUUGAAAAAAAUGUCUUUUGUGUGCAAUAAAAAUUUUCAGUCCUUAUAUUUACGGCAAAACUUCUCGUAUAAACAAAAUUGGUGUGUUUUACUUUAUUCCUGUUUAUUUUAAGGUAGUUUACUCGCAAACCGACUUUUUAUAAGAAUUUCAUAUGAUUGAAAUAUGAUAUCAAGGUAUAUGUCCUGCAUGUAUUUUUAAAAAAUCAGAAUUUUUAAUCGUUUGUGAGGCGAGAUAUUGAUAAUCAAAAUGCACACAGUUAACGUAUAGUAGCCCCGACUAACCUAUAAAAAAAGUCAUAUUUUCACGUAUAUUUCAAAUUAUUUCGCUUAAGAACCUUUCCAAAAACUAACAGAUUGUAGAAAAAAAAAUUUCGAAUUAAAAAAAAUUUUUAAAUAACCAUACUACCGAUUAGUGAAAAAGUUGUAAAUAUUCAAAGAAAUCUGUCGCACAAUUUCAAAUGAGAAAAGCGAGUAAGCAAUAUCAAGUAAAAGAGGAAGCAAUAGCGAGUGAGAGAGUGCAGUUCCUGGUAUCCAGUUGCUCAUUUAUUGCCGGUUUAAAAAUUGCUUAUCAGUAUAUAAUUUUCUCAUUUUAAUGGUGGUUCCUUCAUCAAAAAACUGACAAAAUACACUGUUAGAAGUAUUUAUUUGAGCCAAAUAAGAUUUAUUAAUAGUUAAUAAAUGA